UACCGAGCAGAGAAACAUGGCCGCUCUCCAGCUUCACAACCGCAAUACGCUCAAUUUCAGCUCGGUGCUUUUCAAAUAUUGCGAGAAGCUGGUCGUGGGUCGUGUCUUUCUUUCGAACGCCCUCCUUGUUCGUGAGGGCGAUAUCAGACACGCGGCAUUUUUGCAUUUUGCCGCCGAAUUCCACAAGGAAAUGAACGCAAUCGCCGAUGACGACAGCCAUUGGCUUGAUCCUCGGGCAUCUGCGAUCUUUACAAAU
rnacentral:misc_RNA from 1 species